CGCAACUCAACCGCCUAAAACCCAUUCGUGACCACCCUACCCAAUACACUCAUACACUCUCUCUCUUUCUCUCUUUCUCUCUUUCUUUCUCUCGGUAAACCCAUGAGACCCCUGAUCUUCAUUCUCUCUUACCCACAAACCCAAUCUUCGAUUGCCUUCCACAAACCCUAUUUCCCUUAUUCAAUCUCCCUCUCAUAGAAACCCUAAUGGCCAUAGGGCAGAGCGGCGAUGGAAAAGCGAUGGCGAUCGACGGUGACAAAGUUUAGCAGAUCAAUGGAGCAAAAGCCAUGGCGACGAUGAUGACGGAGUUGAUCGAUUGUGGGUGGCGCUAAACGACGGAAAGUUUUUUAUCUUUUUUUUUUGUUUUGUUUUUGAAAUUGGUCUUCACCCUAUUUCUAUCUCUCAACUCAUUCAUCUUUGAAUAAUAUAUAUAUAUAUAUAGAUACGGUUCCCGAAUUCGAAGGUGAUUUUUGAAAUUAAUGAAUGGAGCAAUCACACUUGGAAACCCUAAACCACUCAGAUUCUCUCUUUCCUUUCCCUCCUCAUCGCAGAAGACACCUCAAGAGCGAAACUUUCCUCACACUUGUUCGAAUUCUAUCUCAUUGCCAUGCCGACUCUCAUACUUCUCAUUCCCAUCCGCAGGGGCUUCCAAAACAAGACAGUGUUGAGAAUGAAUUGGGGCAAGCGACCCAGGGAGAAGUGUGUGGUGAACCCGUUGGUCCUAUCAGUAUGGAGUCUGAAAUAUUGUCAAUUCAGAGGGGUGCUUUGAAUUCAACACUUCUUGGUAGCGAUGAAUGUGUUAAUGAGGACAGAAUGGAAACAGAUGAGUUUGACCAUGUAAGUAGGGUAAAUAAGGAACUCGUUCCAGAAAACAGUAUUAAACUUGUAAAUAAUACAUUGGACAAGAAUCCAAGUGGUAAUGUUGUCUCUUUGAUAGAUAACCAAGAAGGCCAAAGCAGUCCCCAAGAAAUUUGUAUGGAGGAAUCAGGAAAUGUAGACAAGGAAAACUAUAGUUGUAAGGUCACUGAAGCUCUUGAUUUGUCUUUAGAUGUAGAUAUUUAUGCUGAAUCGUCAAGAUUGGAUGAGAAUAAUGAACAAGGAAGUUCAUUUGUGGAGAGGAAUUUGUUGGAAGAAGUGAACGAAAUGCAGCUGAUGGAAUUGGAGAAAUGGGUAUCUGAUUGUGGUGGGUUAAAUUCUCUUCUUCGUGUAACUGAUGAUGAAGAGAUUGAAGAAGGAGAAAUCUCAGGGGACUUUGGGGUUUAUGACCAAUCAAUGGAUUUGUUGUUUGAAGAUGCUGUAUCAUUAGAAAAGAAGAAUGUGGAUGAGGAGCAAAAUUCUGAAGCCACUAUUAAUGAUGAACAAUUAACUUGUAAGAAACAGAAAGUGGCAAAUCAGGAAGAUACCACCAAAUCUAAUAAGAAUUUUGUGGAGACAAUUGAUAAUGUGGGUAAGGAAGUAGAAUUAAAAUUCAGAGAAAGUAGUAUGCCAGAGAUGGAGUGUAAGUCAGAAAUUGCUGCUUUUGGGAAAAAUGGUGAGGCUAAACUGGCACAUGGGUUUGACUCUAUAAUAGAAACUGUAAGAAACGAGAAGCAAACUGCUAGAGCUAUCGAGGAGUUCAACCAUCCAGCAGUGCCUGGAAAAAUCUCAAGGGAAAAUGUUACCGAAAAUCAAUGCACUUUAUCCACUGAAAAGGAUGCUGGUGUUCGCAAAAAGAAAAAGCGGGGUCCUUCGACCAAGGAAAACAAAGCAAAGAAAAAGCAAAAGGAAAGAAUCAAACGAGCAGAAAAGAAUAGACGUCUUGGUGUUAAAAGGUUAAAAAUCCAACCAGUAUUGAAACCAAAAACAGUGACAUAUUGCCGUCAUUAUAUGAAGGGAAGAUGCCAAGAGGGUGACAAGUGCAAAUUUUCACAUGAUACAAUACCCUUGACAAAAUCCAAGGCAUGUUGUCAUUUUGCUCGUCACUCAUGCAUGAAAGGCGAUGACUGUCCAUUUGAUCAUCAACUGUCCAAGUAUCCCUGCAACAAUUAUUUGUCCAACGGAUUUUGCAGCAGAGGCCCCGACUGUUUGUUUUCACACGAGAUGCCACUCACGGAAGGUUCCCCAAGCACAACAAAUGUUUCCAAACCCGAGUUGAAGUUUUCAUCCCUCCUAAAGAGUACAAAUUCUGAGAAGCAAUUGAACUUGAAUAAUUCCUCUCAUCAGAAGGUUGAUUCUAGUAAGAACACUAAACAGGAUGUGGUAGAGACUAUACUCAAACGUGCUGUACAGACACAACCCAAGGGAAUAAGCAAGCUUAUGUUUGGGAAAUCGGCACUGGACAAUCGAAGUAAGCUUAAUCAAGUUUCUCCGAUAACAGGUGUUGGUGGUGUUAAAGUUGGUCUUCCGAUGAUCCGUGGCACACCAGAUAUGGCUCAAAACUCAAAUGAGAUUACAAAGAUGACAGCUGCAGUGGAAUCAAAGGGAAUAAACUUCCUGUCAUUUGGCAAAGCUCCUUUAAAGGAUUGUGGUAUUCCAAAAUCAAUUACCUUUGAUGAUUCUAACAAGGAUAAGCAAGCUGCCUCAUCUCCAAAGAAGGAUGUUGGACUCAAAAUUGGCAAUCAGACGGCUCAAAUCGCAAGAGACGUGAUACCCAUCUGGAGUGAGAUGCCGAAGAGAACACCUACUAUGCCACCCCAAGGAAUAAACUUUCUUUCGUUUGGCAAAGCUGCAUUAGAUCAUCCUAAGGACAAUGAUGUUGUGUCUGUUCAAGAGAAAGAAACUGCACCUAGACUUCAGAUCCCCAGUUCAAAACCAUGGAAGCAACUAUCUUCACUUCCUUCAGAUCAAUCUGUGGAUCAAUUGACAGAUGAGCAUGGUAAAGACACACAAAGUUCAGCUCUGAAGGCACUCUUGUCAAAUACGCCAAAUGCAGCUCAAAAGGCACGUCUUUCAAACAUGACGAACUCAGCACAGAAGGCACUCAUGUCAACGUUAGCUUUUGCAGCUAAGUAUGAGUCUAGAAUUAAGAUGGAUCGUCCUCCUGAUGGCAGCGCCAACUUCAAUAAGGAAAGCAGUAGUUCACAAAGUACUUCGAGGGGGUCUACAAUUUUGGAUUUCUUGUAUGGCAAUGGUAGUAAAACCAAUCAAGCUGAUAUAAUAGGUCAAUGGAUUCCUCCUGUAAUUUAUUUUGGGAUGUGAGUGGAUUAAAAAGCUGUGUUUUUCGAAAUCAAGGACUAAAUAGUCCAAGACUUGGCUGUCUAAAGCAUAGAUCAGAAUCAUAUAAUGGAUGCUGCUGGUUGAGAUCCACCACCACCGCUGUCCAGCUCGCACCACCACCACCACCGCGUCUCUCAUCCAGAUCUACCGUCGCCGCCGUCCAGCUCGCACUGCCGCUUCACCUCCGUCGUCGACUCUGCACCUCCGUCAACCUCGUCACUUUCGCACCUCUCCUCCACCUCUGUCUACCUCGCACCGUCGCUCCACCUCCUCCGUCGUCCAUCACGCUGAUCUUCUCCGUCGUUCGUCGCAGUUCCAUCGCAUCCCUCUCUCUCUCUCUCUCAGAUCUGUUAAUGAUUUUGUUAUUGUUGAUAGACAAGGGAGAGUAAUAUUAUCUUUCAUAUUAUAGUUGUCUUUAUGGACAAAAAGAAAUAAAUGUUGGACCAAUUGUCUAAAAAAUUUUAAAUUUGAAUUUAUUAAUUUAAAAUUCCAAUGAGAUUUCAAAUUCAAAUUCAAAAAAAAAAAAAAAAA